GCCUUGAGAUGAGUUCUCCCUGAUACUGUAAGUAUCCUAAAGGGUUGUCGUAGACUACGACGUUGAUAGGCAGGGUGUGUAAGCGUUGUGAGGCGUUGAGCUAACCUGUACUAAUUGCCCGUGAGGCUUAACCAUACAACACCCAAGGGGUUU
rnacentral:rRNA from 1 species